GUUCCCCGCCGCCCUAGCCUCGUGUCCGAGGUCCCCUCUCACCCCCACCCCCCUCCCCCCCCGCGCCCCGCUCAUCUCGAUGGUGGCCUUGCUGUCCCCCAUCUGUGCGCCGGUGCCUUCGGUGCUCACAGGCUCUCGGGUCCCGGGCGGGAGGGGGGACGCUGCUCCCCGACGUGGGGACCCCCCGAGUCCCAGCAGAGUGGGGGGGGGAGACGGCCCCUCAUCGGCCCCGCCUGCCACCUCCAUUGUUUACCCGUCGGCUGCCUCCUAGGAAACUUAACCCGCCCGCGGUAAUUUUAUUUGGGAACUUCGGCCAGUUGCCAUAGCAACCCCCAGUGACGUCAGAGGGGCUGGGGCCCGAAAUCCCCGGGAAAGGGGGGAUGGGAUUAGGGGGGAGACCCCCAGGAGGGCCCCUCCUUAACCCUGCGCCUGCCAGGUCCCGGUCUGAGGGGAGAGGGCAGCCAGAUGUGACACCUCUCGGGCGCCCCCAUUCUGGCGCGGUGCCAGGGCCUGUUUGAUGUCUCUGUGUGCAGCGUUGCCAUGGGGCCCGGCAGGCAGCCGUGCGUGUGAGCUGGGGUGACCUAUGGGGCGGCUGGGUCUGUCAGGGUCUCUUGACCAGCACCCCCCCGUCCCGGGCCCACAGGACUGCAUGUACCUGGUGUACCUCCGGGCACUCGCUUAUCCAACUUUUACCCCAUCCUGGGCCCUGGGCCGGGACAUUCCUCAUCUCAUCUCAGAGCCUUGGCGUAACUGCAGACUGCACGUUUUCAAUAUAAGGAAACUGAGGUUCAGAGAGGUGUGAUCACUUGGCCAACGAUAUUCAGCCAGAAAGUUGGGGAGCAAAGAUGUGAAAUUCAGUUCUUCCACCCUGCUCCCCUCGUCCGUCCAUCACACUGUUCUCCUCAUUGUUUCUCAAAUACCCCAGGCAUGUUUCUGCCUCGGGACCUUUGCACUGGCUGUUCCCUCCACCUUGAACUUCUCCUCCAGAUGUCUGGACGGCUCCUCCUUCACCUCCUAGAAGUCUUUGUUCAAGUGUCACCUGGUCUUCAUGCAGCCUUUCCUGACCUGGCCCCCGCCUCCUCAGCCCCCUUCUAUUUUCCCUUAGCGUGGAUCACCCAACACACAAUAUAUCUUUAUACCUA